CUCUUAGCGUUGUUUACAGGAGCAGUGAUGGCGGUCUUGAGCAUUUGGUGAAGAUUCUCUCACAUUUAUCUAUUUUCCUCCACUCCCAGACGUCAGAAUGGCGGCAAAUCUAAGUGAUAAAAACAACCUGGGAUUUGAAAGAUCUCUCAGUCGAAGGAAGUUGUCAUCGCGAUCAAUGGACGAUUGCACUUGUCAACCACUGCAGAGGUGUCAGCCAGUCAGUCAGUCAGUCAGUCAGUCAGUCAGUCAGUCAGUCAGUCAGCCAGUCAGUCAGUCAGUCAGUCAGCUCAGUC